UAUGGGGUGUAAAACGGAAACAUCUCGCAGAGAUCGAUGGUCUGGGACUAACUUCUCGUCGGCAUGAUAAGAAGGAAAUAAUUUGUUUGGCCUUUUGUGCCUUAUAAACUACAACAAAGCAAGAAGCCCGUCUUUAACUAAUUGAAAUUUCGCUUUGUUGCUUCCAGGACCUUAUUGGUGCCAUCAAGGUGACGUCCAGAAAGAUCGGUGCUCCAGUUUACGCCCUGCCAAGGGACCUGAAACUAAGUUAAGUACUUAUGUGUCUCUUAUACGGUGUAAACAUAUCGCAGAGAUGGGCUGAGACUAAAUUUUUGUCGGCAUGAUAGGAAGUAAAUCAGUUGUGAUGUUUCGUUAACUGAACUCUUGGUUGUAGGUAAGGUGCUUGAGUGUGUUCUGUUGACAUUCCGAGCGAUGUUGUCGGGAGGGGUUUACAUUAGGACAUUUUGUAAAUGGAGGCUCCUUUUGCAUUCAGGGCUUCAGUCCGUUUCUGGGGUGUACAGGCCUGGUGUGUGGCUGGUUUGGUUUCUGUGAUUGUGUCGAUCGCCGGGAUGGUAUUCUGUCAAUUAUUUCAAAUUCUGUUCUUUACAAAACAGGGUUUUCCCUGGUUCACCAUCUGUUGUCAUUUCUGUUUUAUGUCAUGGUCAGUGGUUGUCGGGGACCUAGACCAUUACAUAAUCUGCCUCGUGUUGUUGUCUUGGGUCCCGAACCAAGAGAACGUCACAGGCCAGAAAGGAGGACAGGUGGCUGAAGAACCUAUUUAAUAUUACUAGUUUAGUCGUUUAGAGAAAAAAAACUUCGGCGUCGACAUAGUCACAGAAACUGAAUCAGCUAUACACUGGGCUUGUAUAUCACAGAAGCAGACUGAAGCAAUGAGUGCAGAAGUAGCCAUUGCUCUCGAAAAUUCAAGCAAAACAAAGGCAGCAUUAUGCCAAAAGCAGCAUUACUUAGGAUUUCAUCAAAGCACACCCAACGCCCUGCCACCAAACAAGAGAUAAUGAUUCCUCUCGCUAUUUCUAUGUUAAAGCUAGAACCGAAAUUAUAAUGACAAAACAAGUGAACUUCCUGCCAUGCCAAUACACGUAGCUGAGCUUUCUUUUAGGUAUAGUGUUAGGUAUAGUCUGAGUUAAGGUUUAAUUUUUGUCUCGUCUUUUCUCCCGAGGAUCAUCGCACCGUAAGAAGAAAUGUCUGGACGCGGAAAAGGAGGCGAGGACUGGCGAAGGAAGGUGCCGAAUGUGAGCGAACGGGCUUCGCAGUCUUCUAUGACAAGAUUAGCUAGAAGUGUCUGGGCUUGGUAAGCGAGGAAAGGCACUAGAGGAAUGGAGGUUUCGAAGUGUCACCGUUACUGCAAGUGCUUCGUGACAACAUCCGGUGCAUCACCAAGCCAGGGCAUGACGGUCUUUCCCGACAUAGACAAGCAAUGUCUGGACGUUACCGGUACCGUGACCGAAGGCGCUUCACAACAUCCGGGGAGACGGUGGUCCUGGCGGAAGGCGUGUUAGUGUCUCCCCUCGUAGCUGGAUUUCAGAAGCAUCUUGAGAUGACAUUCCAUAA